rnacentral:tRNA from 1 species
GCCAGCAUAGCUUAAUUAAAGCAUGACACUGAAGAUGUUAAGAUGGACCUUAAACCAGUCCUGCAAGCA